rnacentral:rRNA from 1 species
UACAGAGGUCUCAAGCGUUGUUCGGAUUCAUUGGGCGUAAAGGGUGCGUAGGUGGCGGGGUAAGUCAGGUGUGAAAUCUCGGGGCUCAACCCCGAAACUGCAUUUGAUACUGCCUUGCUCGAGUACUGGAGAGGAGAUUGGAAUUUACGGUGUAGCAGUGAAAUGCGUAGAUAUCGUAAGGAAGACCAGUGGCGAAGGCGAAUCUCUGGACAGUUCCUGACGCUGAGGCACGAAGGCCAGGGGAGCAAACGGG